rnacentral:rRNA from 1 species
UACGUAGGGACCAAGCGUUGUUCGGAUUUACUGGGCGUAAAGGGCGCGUAGGCGGCGCGGUAAGUCACUUGUGAAAUCUCUGAGCUUAACUCAGAACGGCCAAGCGAUACUGCAGUGCUAGAGUGUGGAAGGGGCAAUCGGAAUUCUUGGUGUAGCGGUGAAAUGCGUAGAUAUCAAGAGGAACACCUGAGGUGAAGACGGGUUGCUGGGCCAACACUGACGCUGAGGCGCGAAAGCCAGGGGAGCAAACGGG